rnacentral:misc_RNA from 1 species
UCUCCGUAGGUGAACCUGCGGAGGGAUCAUUACAGAGUUCAUGCCCUACCGGGUAAAUCUCCCACCCUAUGUUAUUAUUACUUUGUUGCUUUGGCGGGCCGUUAGGCUCCGGCCCGACUACCGGCCCCGGCUGGUAAGCGCCCGCCAGAGGACCCAAAACCCUGAAUAUUAGUGUCGUCUGAGUACUAUAUAAUAGUUAAAACUUUCAACAACGGAUCUCUUGGUUCUG